UACAGAGGUCUCAAGCGUUGUUCGGAUUCAUUGGGCGUAAAGGGUGCGUAGGUGGCGCCGUAAGUCAGGUGUGAAAUCUCGGGGCUUAACUCCGAAACUGCAUUUGAUACUGCGGUGCUUGAGGACUGGAGAGGAGACUGGAAUUCCUGGUGUAGUGGUGAAAUACGUAGAUAUCAGGAGGAAUACCGGUGGCGAAGGCGGCCAUCUGGCCAAAUACUGACGCUGAGAUACGAAAGUGUGGGGAUCAAACAGG
rnacentral:rRNA from 1 species